GCGGGAGUGGCCUAGUGGUUAAGGCGCUGCUUUCCCAUCAUUUGGUUUCGCCUCUAAGCGAAAGAGACAAGCAGAAACCGCGAGGUAAGUGCCCGCCUUCCGGA